rnacentral:rRNA from 1 species
GAUGAACGCUGGCGGCGUGCCUAAUACAUGCAAGUCGAGCGAACAGACGAGGAGCUUGCUCCUUCGACGUUAGCGGCGGACGGGUGAGUAACACGUAGGUAACCUACCUAUAAGACUGGGAUAACUUCGGGAAACCGGAGCUAAUACCGGAUAAUAUUUCGAACCGCAUGGUUCGAUAGUGAAAGAUGGCUUUGCUAUCACUUAUAGAUGGACCUGCGCCGUAUUAGCUAGUUGGUAAGGUAACGGCUUACCAAGGCAACGAUACGUAGCCGACCUGAGAGGGUGAUCGGCCACACUGGAACUGAGACACGGUCCAGACUCCUACGGGAGGCAGCAGUAGGGAAUCUUCCGCAAUGGGCGAAAGCCUGACGGAGCAACGCCGCGUGAGUGAUGAAGGUCUUCGGAUCGUAAAACUCUGUUAUUAGGGAAGAACAAACGUGUAAGUAACUGUGCACGUUUUGACGGUACCUAAUCAGAAAGCCACGACUAACUACGUG